UACGAAGGGGGCUAGCGUUGCUCGGAAUCACUGGGCGUAAAGCGCACGUAGGCGGAUUGCUAAGUCAGGGGUGAAAUCCUGGAGCUCAACUCCAGAACUGCCUUUGAUACUGGCGACCUUGAGUCCGGGAGAGGUGAGUGGAACUGCCGAGUGUAGAGGUGAAAUUCGUAGAUAUUCGCAAGAACACCAGUGGCGAAGGCGGCUCACUGGCCCGGUACUGACGCUGAGGUGCGAAAGCGUGGGGAGCCAAACAGG
rnacentral:rRNA from 1 species